CCCUUAGAUGUUCUGGGCCGCACGCGCGCCACACUGAUGCAUUCAACGAGCCUAUCCUUGACCGACAGGUCCGGGUAAUCUUUGAAUCUGCAUCGUGACGGGGAUAGAUUAUUGCAAUUAUUAAUCUUCAACGAGGAAUGCCUAGUAGGCGCAAGUCAUCAGCUUGCGUCGAUUACGUCCCUGCCCUUUGUACACACCGCCCGUCGCUCCUACCGAUUGGGUGUGCUGGUGAAAUGUUCGGAUCGGCCGUUUGUCGCGGUUUCCGCGGCUCGUGGCUGAGAAGUUCAUUAAACCCUCCCACCUAGAGGAAGGAGAAGUCGUAACA
rnacentral:rRNA from 1 species